rnacentral:rRNA from 1 species
UGGGGAAUCUUGGACAAUGGGGGCAACCCUGAUCCAGCCAUGCCGCGUGAGUGAUGAAGGCCUUAGGGUCGUAAAGCUCUUUCGCCUGUGAAGAUAAUGACGGUAGCAGGUAAAGAAACCCCGGCUAACUCCGUGCCAGCAGCCGCGGUAAUACGGAGGGGGUUAGCGUUGUUCGGAAUUACUGGGCGUAAAGCGCACGUAGGCGGACCAGAAAGUUGGGGGUGAAAUCCCGGGGGCUCAACCCCGGAACUGCCUCCAAAACUAUUGGUCUAGAGUUCGAGAGAGGUGAGUGGAAUUCCAAGUGUAGAGGUGAAAUUCGUAGAUAUUUGGAGGAACACCAGUGGCGAAGGCGGCUCACUGGCUCGAUACUGACGCUGAGGUGCGAAAGUGUGGGGAGCAAACAGGAUUAGAUACCCUGGUCAGUCCACACCGUAAAACGAUGAAUGCCAGUCGUCGGGUAGCAUGCUAUUCGGUGACACACCUAACGGAUUAAGCAUUCCGGCCUGGGGAGUACGGUCGCAAGAUU